rnacentral:rRNA from 1 species
AACUCAAAGGAAUUGACGGGGGCCCGCACAAGCGGUGGAGCAUGUGGUCUAAUUCGAUGCAACGCGAAGAACCUUACCUGGUCUUGACAUCCACGGAAGUUUUCAGAGAUGAGAAUGUGCCUUCGGGAACCGUGAGACAGGUGCUGCAUGGCUGUCGUCAGCUCGUGUUGUGAAAUGUUGGGUUAAGUCCCACAGCGAGCGCAACCCUUAUCCUUUGUUGCCAGCGGUCCGGCCGGGAACUCAAAGGAGACUGCCAGUGAUAAACUGGAGGAAGGUGGGGAUGACGUCAAGUCAUCAUGGCCCUUACGACCAGGGCUACACACGUGCUACAAUGGCGCAUACAAAGAGAAGCGAUCUCACGAGAGCAAGCGGACCUCAUAAAGUGCGUCGUAGUCCGGAUUGGAGUCUGCAACUCGACUCCAUGAAGUCGGAAUCGCUAGUAAUCGUGGAUCAGAAUGCCACGGUGAAUACGUUCCCGGGCCGUGUACACACCGCCCGUC